AUUUCACAGACCCAAUGGUCUCAAGAUGCACAGGCUACAUGAUGCUGUGUCCGGCUGGUCACACUCCAGUUGGCCAGAUGGACCCAAAGACAGCAUGGUGGGUUGGAGACCCCUGUGAAUCCAGCUUGGACGACAGUCACAGCUCCCAGGUGAGACCUCCGGCUCCGUUGUGUGGUGGAGAGCGUACUGCCAAAGUUCAGAUAGAUCCUGUCCAUUCCUCAAGGAAAAAGCACAGAGAUGUGAUUAUGUAAGUCAUCCAAGCUCAAAAUUGCUCCAACUCCAACCGCUUAGA